rnacentral:rRNA from 1 species
UCGACUGUUUAUCAAAACAUAGCUAUAAGUAUAAUAUUUAUAGUGUUAUCUGCCCAGUGACAUUAAUUUAACGGCCGCAGUACCUUGACUGUGCAAAGGUAGCAUAAUCACUUGACUUUUAAAUGGAGCCUAGUAUGAAAGAAAGAACGUAGACUGUUUGUCUCAUUAAUAAUAUCUUUAAAUUGCUAGAUGAGUGAAAAUACUCAUAAUUUAUAAUAAUAGACGAGAAGACCCUUAGAAUUUUAAAAAUAAAUAAUUAAGAAUUAUGUAAAUUUUUGUUGGGGCAACAAUAUUUCAUAUAAAAUAAAUAUUUUAUAGUAGGAUAAAUCGAUUUUAGUAAUUAUAGAAAAAUUACCUAAGGGAUAACAGCAUAAUUUUAAUAAUAAGCUUGUGAC